CCAAUUCAAAUUUUAUAUAUUUUUUCUAUAUUUCUUUUUGAAUAUCAAUUUCUCUACAAAUAAUAAAAAAUUAUGAAAAAAUCUAAUAUUAAUUUAUAUUAAAAAGUUAAAUUUAUUGUUUGUGUUUUAACUUUUUUUAAUUUAUAAAAUUUUUAAAAGAGUUUUGAAAAGGUUGGGUAUAAUUGUGUAAAUUAAAAACUAUAAGUCAAAAAGCUAUAAUUUAAACUCUUUUUCUUGAAAAAAAUAUUUUUUUUAAAAAAAUACAAACUUUUUGUAAUAUGAUUAAUACAAACUUUUUAUAUUUUUUAUAAUUAUUUAUUUAAAUAUCAAUUUCUCUUCAAAUAAUAAAAAAAAUAUUAAAAAUAUUUAACAAAAGAGCUUUUAAAAAGUUGGAUAUAAUUGUCAAAAGAGUGUAAAACCUGAUAAGAGUGUUCCAUUAUGUCAAAAGAGUGCAAAAUCUAAUAAGAGCGUUCUAUUACGGCAUAAGAGUGUAAAAUUACAACGAAUGCAUAUUCGCAUUUAAACGAACAAAAAUUAUAACCUUUUAGGGUGCGUUUGGUUCACACUAUGAAAGAUUACUAGAAAUAAAAAGAUGUCUGAGAAUCUUAUUCUUAUUCAUUCUAUUACUAAGAAUGUGGCAUUCCUGUAUUUGGUUCGCACGGUGAUAUUAUUUAGUCAUGUUAUUUAAUAUUACAAAAAAUAUACCAUUUAUUUAUUUAUUUAUUUAAUUUUAGAUAAUGCUACCAAAAAUUUUAACAUCUUUUUAGAAAAAAGGGAGAGAGAACAUAAGUGAGAGAGAGGGAGCAUAAUUAAAGAAAUAGGAAGAGAAAUAGAGUCGAGAUUAGAGGGAGUGAGAGAGUUGAGAUUUUAGAAAAAGAAGGAGAGAGAGAGCGCUUAGUUUAGAUAGAGAAAAAGAGUUGAAAUUUAGAGAGAAAAAGAUAAAUUUAGAGAGAGACAUAAGGUUAGAGUGUAAAGAAAAAUAAUACCAACUAGCCGGCGGGUAGGGAGAAAGAAAGAGAUUAGACAUAUUAUGAUGACCUCAAUCAUUAAUAUGAGGAUACCCACCCUCCCUCAAGGGAAUGAGAUUAGUAAUUUGGGAUGAAUCUUAUUCCUAAGUAAAUCCAAUAUUACCAACUAGAUUAGUUAGUGUUUAGCCAAACACCAUCAUAUUUUUAUAUUCCUAUUGGAUUACUAGGAAUAUUAAAAAGAUAGUGCAAACCAAACGCACCCUAAGAGUUUUCUAUUAUGCCCUAAGAGUAUUUUAUUAUGCCAUAAGAGUGUAAAAUUACAACCCAUAUAUGUUCGCAUUAAAAUAAACAAAAAUUAAAACCUAAUAAGAGUGUUCUAUUCUGCUUUAAGAGUAUAAAUUUGUAACGAAUAUAUGGACACAUUCAAACAAACAAAAUUUAAU
rnacentral:lncRNA from 1 species